rnacentral:rRNA from 1 species
GACGAACGCUGGCGGCGUGCUUAACACAUGCAAGUCGAACGGAAAGGCCCUGCUUUUGUGGGGUGCUCGAGUGGCGAACGGGUGAGUAACACGUGAGUAACCUGCCCUUGACUUUGGGAUAACUUCAGGCAACUGGGGCUAAUACCGGAUAGGAGCUCCUGCUGCAUGGUGGGGGUUGGAAAGUUUCGGCGGUUGGGGAUGGACUCGCGGCUUAUCAGCUUGUUGGUGGGGUAGUGGCUUACCAAGGCUUUGACGGGUAGCCGGCCUGAGAGGCUGACCGGCCACAUUGGGACUGGGAUACGGCCCAGACUCCUACGGGAGGCAGCAGUGGGGAAUAUUACACAAUGGGCGGAAGCCUGAUGCAGCAACGCCGCGUGCGGGAUGACGGCCUUCGGGUUGUAGACCGAUUUCGCCUGUGACGAGGCGUGAGUGACGGUAAUGGGUAAAGAAGCACCGGCUAACUACGUG